rnacentral:rRNA from 1 species
AGAGUUUGAUCCUGGCUCAGAACGAACGCUGGCGGCAGGCUUCAUACAUGCAAGUCAACGAUUAAAGCUCCUUCGGGAGUGUAUAAAGUGGCGAACGGGUGAGUAACAGGUGGGUAAUCUGCCUUCCGGAAGGGGACAACGGCUGGAAACGGCCGCUAAUACCGUAUACGAUUAUAGAAACUUAUGUUUCUAUAAGGAAAGGGGCUUCACAGCUCCGCCGGAAGAUGAGCCCGCCCCCCAUUAGCUUGUUGGUAAGGUAACGGCUUACCAAGGCAACGAUGGGUAACCGAACUGAGAGGUUGAUCGGUCACACUGGAACUGAGACACGGUCCAGACACCUACGGGUGGCAGCAGUAGGGAAUAUUGCGCAAUGGGCGAAAGCCAGACGCAGCCAUGCCGCGUGGAGGAUGAAGGCCUUCGGGUCGUAAACUCCUUUUCUGAAGGAAGAACAUCCUGGGUAGGAAAUGAUCCAGGCUUGACGGUACUUCAGGAAUAAGCAACGGCUAACUCCGUGCCAGCAGCCGCGGUAAUACGGAGGUUGCAAGCGUUGUUCGGAAUUACUGGGCGUAAAGGGAGCGCAGGCGGCUUGACCAGUCUGAAGUGGAAUCCCGGGGCUUAACCCCGGAAGUGCUUUGGAUACUUUCAAGCUUGAGUACGUGAGAGGAGAGUGGAAUUCCAGGUGUAGCGGUGAAAUGCGUAGAUAUCUGGAGGAACACCGGUGGCGAAAGCGACUCUCUGGCACGAUACUGACGCUGAGGCUCGAAAGCGUGGGGAGCGAACGGGAUUAGAUACCCCGGUAGUCCACGCCGUAAACGUUGUGCACUAGGUGUGGGAGGUCAUUGACCCCUUCCGUGCCGCAGCUAACGCAUUAAGUGCACCGCCUGGGGAGUACGGUCGCAAGACUGAAACUCAAAGGAAUUGACGGGGGCCCGCACAAGCGGUGGAGCAUGUGGUUUAAUUCGAAGCAACGCGAAGAACCUUACCCAGGCUUGACAUCCCGAGACCGCUAUGAAAACAUAGCUUCCUCUUCGGAGGCUCAGUGACAGGUGUUGCAUGGCUGUCGCCAGCUCGUGUCGUGAGAUGUUGGGUUAAGUCCCGCAACGAGCGCAACCCCUUCCUUAGUUACCAGCACGUUAUGGUGGGCACUCUAGGGAGACUGCCGGCGAUAAGCCGGAGGAAGGUGGGGACGACGUCAAGUCAUCACGGCCCUUAUGCCUGGGGCUACACACGUGCUACAAUGGCCGGUACAAAGGGUCGCAAUACCGCGAGGUGGAGCUAAUCCCAAAAAGCCGGUCUCAGUUCGGAUCGGAGUCUGCAACUCGACUCCGUGAAGUCGGAAUCGCUAGUAAUCGCGUAUCAGCUACGACGCGGUGAAUACGUUCCCGGGCCUUGUACACACCGCCCGUCACAUGACCCGAGUUGGGUGCACCCGAAGUCACUGGCUCAACCUUUCGAGGAGAGAGGUGCCGAAGGUGUGCUUGGUAAGGGGGAUGAAGUCGUAACAAGGUA